rnacentral:rRNA from 1 species
GAUGAACGCUGGCGGCAUGCCUUACACAUGCAAGUCGAACGGUAACAGGUCUUCGGAUGCUGACGAGUGGCGAACGGGUGAGUAAUACAUCGGAACGUGCCUAGUAGUGGGGGAUAACUACUCGAAAGAGUGGCUAAUACCGCAUGAGAUCUACGGAUGAAAGCAGGGGAUCGCAAGACCUUGUGCUACUAGAGCGGCCGAUGGCAGAUCAGGUAGUUGGUGGGAUAAAAGCUUACCAAGCCGACGAUCUGUAGCUGGUCUGAGAGGACGAUUGCCCACACUGGGACUGAGACACGGCCCAGACUCCGACGGGAGGCAGCAGUGGGGAAUUUUGGACAAUGGGCGCAAGUCUGAUCCAGCAAUGCCGCGUUCAGGAUGAAGGCCUUCGGGUUGUAAACUGCUUUUGUACGGAACGAAAAGCCCUGGGUUAAUACCCUGGGGUCAUGACGGUACCCGGAGAAGAAGCCUCGGCUAACUCCGUGCCAGCCGCCGCAGUAAGAC